rnacentral:lncRNA from 1 species
UGAAGAUACGUGAUGGAGAGACGAAAGUGGGGAGCAUCUCAGAUGAAGAAUAGAGUAAACACAGGGAAUUUGAACUCUACAUGGCAUCUGUUAGAAGGUUGAAUUGUCUAUAUCUAAGCUUCUGAUUUAUCCUAUCUAGACCCACCUUAAUCCCAGUAAUAAAGAAGGUGAUGUGGGAACCCUUAGAAGUAAUCAAUGGAAAGCCUAUAAAGUAAGAAAAAUAUUGAGUAACUGGCAAUUGGCUCAUAAAUAUCCCUGGCACAGCCUGAGACAGUCCUUGGCUGCCUUUUCUGGAGCGGAAUCUUCCAUUGUGAUGAGAAGGAAGUUGCCAGCAGACACAGCCACCUGCAUCCCACACAACAGCUUUAAAGGAGAAAACCCCGUGGAGAAAGAACUGAAACUGAGAGGAGUUCCAAACUAA